rnacentral:lncRNA from 1 species
GCUCAUUCUGGGUCUGUAAUGGAGUCUGUGAGGAGCUCAGCUUCCUGGGGUGGAAGGAGCAAUGCCAAGAGUGCCAGGGGAAGCAGGAGCAGCAGGAGCAGAGCAGUGGGCUCAGGGUGGUGCCAGAAUGCCACGGGAGAACUUCCUUGUCAGCAACUGAGAAGAUCCUGAAGAGUUCCAAGGUUCAUGAGGAGAUUUGGAGGAUUUGGGAUUUCCAAGUGGUCGGAUGAAUCAGAGCAUGCUGACACUUCCUGCCACCUCUCCUGAGGCCAGCUUGAUGAGAGAAAACCAAGAAGGAUGGGACUUCGUGGGCUAAAGCUGGAAUUGGACAAUUAACUCCAAUAUGCAAAUGGACCAGAACUUAUAAAACUGUCAGACCCCAUUACUGGUUGUGCAUUUUGUGACCAUUUUGGUUCAUCUUGGGUGUGGCUCUGGCUGGGCUCUUGUG